UAAAAAAUGUCGACUUUCUUUAGCCUGAGACAAACCAAGAUCUGAGACUUUGAGUGACAGUUAACAGAACACACUUCAAGAACAGAGUUCUAAAAUAACAGAGGAAAGAGAUUGCAGAGAUGAUGAAAUGCAGAAACUAACUGAAAGAAAAGGAGCACAUACAAGUUUAACGAGUUCACGCCGUUAAAGGACGCUACAUCUCGCCGAGGCUCACCUCGGAAUCCACUAGAACCAAUAGAGAACAGCUGUUACAACAAGAAGAAUCAAGAGAUCCGCCUAAUGCCCUUCACUAGCACUUAGACACUCUUCGAUUCUUACUUGUAUCAAGAAAACUAUUACAAAGCUUAUGCUAAAUAGAAUUUUCUCUUAGCUACAAUCUCUCUACAACCUCUCAAGUUCUCUUCUGUUCUCUCUCUAUCCCAAAGCAUCUUCCUUUUAUAGUGCUUAGGCACCAAGGGCUUCCUCAUGACCCAGCCGCUUGCUCCAGUCGAUCCAAAACGCUAAACGCCAGUUGUUGUUUCUUGCUUUAGCUGUUGCAGACUGCAGAGCGUGACUUACUGCUUUUGUAUACACGCGACAAUAAGCCCUUAGAGGAUAGACAAUGCUCUUGUUCUUCCAUUUUAAGCAAUCGCCAUUUCCCCAUGUAUGUGGUCCCAAAAGUAAGUUCACCUUUAGUUCAAAAAAUAGUCACUGCAGUUAACUUCCAUUUGUUACCGUUGGGUCAUUCAAAGAAGAGACUUGCUCAUCAAGACAUUGUCUCCACAAAUCUCCACCUGAUGAUCAAGUCAUUUUCUUGUUCCUUUUGAGAGAGAGACGUUCCUUGAAUUCUAGUUUCCUGGAUCCCGGCCUCGGAUUUCCUGAGUUUUAUCACUCAGACCUGACCUGCAACAAGUUCAAAGCGGAUUGAAACUUGUUCACAGGUAGAAUCUUGGUGAAGAUAUCAGCUGGAUUCCUUUCAGUCGAAAUCUUCACAACCUCAACAUCACCAUUAGCAAUCACUUCUCUGAUAUAGUGAUGCUUGACAUCAAUGUGUUUGGUUCGCUCAUGAUGCACGUUAUUCUUCGAGAGAGCAAUAGCACUCUGGGAAUCACAGUGAAUCUCUACACUCCUCUGUUCGAAACCAAAAUCCUUUAACAGCCCUUUAAGCCACAAAGCUUCCUUCACGGCUUCGGUCAAUGACAUGUAUUCAGAUUCCGUUGUGGACAGAGCGACUACUCUCUGCAACCCUGACUUCCAGCUUAUGGUAUUACCUCCCAAUGUGAAUACCAAACCUGUAAUGGAUCUCCUUUUGUCAGGAUCAGCUGCAAAGUCAGCAUCACAGUAACCCACAAUCUUGAAUUCAGGACUCUUUUUGUAGAACAAUCUUGUCUUCAGUGUGCCUUUGAUGAAUCGCAGAACCCACUUUACCCCAAGCCAAUGCUCUCUGAUCGGCUUGCUCAUGUAUCUACUUAUAAUGCCUACAGGAUAAGCUUGAUCUGGUCUUGUUCCGAUCAUUGCGUACAUGAUACUACCCACAGCAUUUGAAUAUGGAACAGACUUCAUGUACUCUUCAUCUCUUGCUAGCUUAUCUUCGGUUGCUGCACUUAACUUCAAAUGAGCCCCUAAUGGGGUAGCCACUUGUUUAGCUUCUCCCAUUCCAUACGUUUCCAGAAUCUUGUUCAAAUACCCUUCUUGUGACAGCCACAAAACACCUUGUUCUCUGUCUCGAGUAAUCUCCAUACCCAAGAUCCUUUUUGCAGCUCCCAGAUCUUUCAUUUCAAAUUUGUUUCCGAGUUCCAUCUUCAACUGAUCUAUAGCUUCCUUGUUUCGGGCUGCAACAAGCAUGUCAUCCACAUAGAUGAGUAGAUACAUCAUUGAACCAUCCACCAGAGACUUCACAUAGGCACAAUUGUCAUGUUCACUUCUCACAAAACCGAUCUCAUUCAUAUAGUUGUCAAAUUUUUCAUUCCACUGUCGAGGUGCUUGCUUGAGACCGUACAAGGAUUUGUUGAGAAGGCACACCUCAUCCUCUUUAAACAUUGACUCGUAUCCUUCAGGAGGAGCCAUGUAAAUCUUUUCUUUGAGUUCUCCAUGGAGGAAGGCGGUCUUGACAUCUAACUGCUCAAGUUCAAGGUCUUCUUGUGCCACCACUGAAAGUAGAAUCCUUAUGGAGACAUGCUUUACAACCGGUGCAAAGAUUUCAUGAUAGUCUACCCCUUCCUUUUGAGCAUAUCCCUUAGCCACGAGUCUAGCUUUGAAGCGAGGUUCCUCUACACCAGGGAUCCCUUGUUUAUACUUGUAGAUCCACCUGCAACCAAUCACCUUCUGUUUCUCGGGCCUUAAGACCUUCGUCCAGGUGAAAUUUUUCUUCUGAGAAUUCAUUUGCUCAUCCAUAGCUAGACUCCAUUCCUUCCAGUGAAUGUCUCUUUUUGCUUCUUGAAAACUAUCCGGUUCAAUUGCAUCACCAUCUUCAGUUGUGUAUAAGGCUUCGGCAUAAUAGUCUUCAUCAUCAAAUCUCCUCGGUGGUCUAAUCUCUCUUCUGUCUCUGUCACGAACCAGACGAUAACUAAGAGGUACAUGAUGGCUUCUUGAUGCAGAGUCAUCACUUGUUCCUUCAUUUCUGUUCGGUGAGAGUGGAUUUGAUCUUGAUGAGGACGUAACACCGGAGUGUUGCAGUGAGGCUCCACCUGAGCUAGAAUCUCCUUCUGGCUCCAAGUCAAGAUCAAGCAACGAUCUGCAGGGAUCAUCCUCUUCAACUACAGGAUGGUCAUUCUGACUCUGAAGAUCCUUGUAGACUGCAUUUUCUUGAAAUAUCACGUUUCUGCUCACUGCACACUUCCUUUCUUCAAGUAACCAGACUUUAUAUCCUUUUACUCCAGUGGGAUACCCCAGAAGCACUCCUUUCUUUGCUCUCGGACUAAGCUUGCCAUCGUCUGUAUGUACAAACACAACACAACCAAAUCUCCUUAGGUAGCUGUAUACAGGCGUCUUACCAAACCAUCUCUUGUCGGGAAUGUCAUAAUUGAGAGCAGAAGAGGGGGUCUUGUUUAUGAGAACAACCGCCGUGUGAGUGGCCUCCGCCCAGAAGCGUUUAGGCAAACCUGAGUCACUCAACAUGGUUCUCACCUUCUCCAUAAUUGUACGGUUCAUGCGUUCUGCAACGCCAUUCUGUUGGGGUGUGUAUGCACAUGUUCUAUGCCUCUGAAUCCCCUUUUCUUCACAGUAAUUAUCAAAGGCUUUGUUGCAGAACUCAAGACCAUUAUCUGUCCUGAGUGUCUUAAUCCGUUUGUCACUUUGAUUCUCCACCAAGUGUGACCAUUCAACAAAACUCUCAAAGGCUUCAUCCUUUGAUCUCAGAAAAUAAACCCAUACUUUUCUUGUAUAGUCAUCGAUAAAAGAUAUAAAGUACUGACAUUUACCAAGAGACAGAGGUACGGAUGGAGCUCCCCAUAAGUCAGAGUGCACAUAUUCGAGUCUCUCUCUUGUGUCGUGUUGAGCCAGGUUGAACCCAACUCUUCUUGCCCUUCCAUAGAUACAGUCUUCACAUGUAUCAAAUGUUGACACUUUUUUACUGUCGAGAAGACACUUUCUAGUCAUGAUACUCAUGUAUUUCUGACUCAUAUGACCCAGUCUCCUAUGCCACAGCACCGUGUCAUCUUCCCUUCUUGUUACUGCAAGUGACUCGUCAACUGCAGGUCUCCAAUGAAGUAGAUACAGGGUGUCAAAUCUUCUUCCUGUCAGCAGAUUUUGAUCACCAGCUUUAAUGCUGAUAUAUCCAUUUUCUGAUUCAAACUUGUAACCGGCUUUCUCAAAGGUUCCCAAAGACAGUAGGUUCUUAUCCAUCUCGGGAAUGUACCUCACAUUUGCAAGUGAAACCGUCAGACCAUCUUCGUUCUUGACUUUAACCGUACCAACACCUCUGACCCUGGCUAAUGUCUUGUUUCCCAUUCUGACAGAACCUCCUGCUUCUUCAUUUAAUUCAUGAAACCAGUCCUUUCUAUACGUCAUGUGAUAACUGCAACCGGUAUCCAUGAUCCACUCAUCUUCAAGAUGUAUGUCUGUAGAUGACAAAGCCUCAGACACAUAAAGCCCUGUCGCUUCAGCUAAGUUACCUUUCCCACUUGAGGAUUCCCCCUUGUUGUACUGAUCUUUUGCUUUACUCUGAGGUUUCCCUUUAUUUGGACAUGAACUUUUAUAAUGUCCUUCUUCACCGCAAGCCCAACAUCCGCGUUUACUCUUAGACUUGGACCUUGCUCUUGACUUUCCUUUCUCUCUUUGUUCACUUCUUCCUCUGGUCUCAGUCUUCUCCUUGGCAUAGAGACCUUCUGCUUGACCCUUUAUACCCUUCUUCAUAGAUCCGAACUCAAGUUCCUUUGAGUGUAUAGCUGCAACGACUUCAUCAAGUGUUAACUCACGUUUUCCUGAGCUGUACUUGAGGGUAUCUCUGAGCUGGUCAAACUGUUUAGGUAGUGACAUCAACAAGAGAAUGGCUUGAUCUUCAUCCGAAACCUGCACCUCCGUAUUCUCCAGAUCUUCUAUAAGAUGGAGAAACUCAUCGAUGUUUCCUUCUAUGGAGAUGCUUUCAGAAAUUCUAAAGCUGUAUAGCUUCUGUUUCAGAUAGAUCCGGUUGGGAAGGGCUUUAGACAUGUACAGUUGGUCUAAAGCCGCCAUCAUUGAAGCUGCAGUCUUCAUCUUUUUGACCUUCCUUAAGACUCUAUCUGUCAGGCUCAAGACUAUCGUACUCCGAGCCUUCUUGCAUUUUUCUUCAAGUUUUUCUGGUUCAUCCUUGCUCUCUACGCGUGCUUCCUUCGAGGUAUCAGUUUCCUUGAGAGCUACACUGAGUCCUAGUAUAUCUAGGUGUGCCUCGAGCUUCUCUUUCCACAUAGUGUAGUCUCCAUGACCGUCAAACUUUUCCAUCUCAACUCUUGACGAUGACAUGGUUCACGGCUUUGAGAUUCAGACUUCGGAACCACAGAUACCGCAACCUGGCUCUGAUACCACUUUGUUAGGACUCUAUGUGCUAAAAAAUGUCGACUUUCUUUAGCCUGAGACGCAACAAACCAAGAUCUGAGACUUUGAGUGACAGUUAACAGAACACACUUCAAGAACAGAGUUCUAAAAUAACAGAGGAAAGAGAUUGCAGAGAUGAUGAAAUGCAGAAACUAACUGAAAGAAAAGGAGCACACACAAGUUUAACGAGUUCACGCCGUUAAAGGACGCUACAUCUCGCCGAGGCUCACCUCGGAAUCCACUAGAACCAAUAGAGAGCAGCUGUUACAACAAGAAGAAUCAAGAGAUCCGCCUAAUGCCCUUCACUAGCACUUAGACACUCUUCGAUUCUUACUUGUAUCAAGAAAACUAUUACAAAGCUUAUGCUAAAUAGAAUUUUCUCUUAGCUACAAUCUCUCUACAACCUCUCAAGUUCUCUUCAGUUCUCUCUCUAUCCCAAAGCAUCUUCCUUUUAUAGUGCUUAGGCACCAAGGGCUUCCUCAUGACCCAGCCGCUUGCUCCAGUCGAUCCAAAACGUUAAACGCCAGUUGUUGUUUCGCUUUAGCUGUUGCAGACUGCAGAGCGUGACUUACUGCUUUUGUAUACACGCGACAAUAAGCCCUUAGAGGAUAGACAAUACUCUUGUUCUUCCAUUUUAAGCAAUUGCCAUUUCCCCAUGUAUGUGGUCCCAAAAAUAAGUUCACCUUUAGUUCAAAAAAUAAUCACUGCAGUUAACUUCCAUUUGUUACCGUUGGGUCAUUCAAAGAAGAGACUUGCUCAUCAAGACAUUGUCUCCACAGGCUCUCUACUGAAGAAUGUUACGAGUUUUGGUUCGUUAGAAGUAAUAUAGUUUGCAAAAUGUUUCGUUGAUGAUGAGAAGAGAUACACUUGUGGCCUUGCUUUUCUUGUACAGCGCCAUUUUGACGAGUUAUAUUAGUCUUUUAAGAAUCAUUAUGUAUUUCGACCCAGACAAAUCAAAAAAAAAAAAGGGAAUCAUUGAGUACUACUCGCGUGAGAUUUGAUACAUCUGGAAGAUUUGGG
rnacentral:lncRNA from 1 species